CCUACGGGGUGCAGCAGUAGGGAAUAUUGCUCAAUGGGGGAAACCCUGAAGCAGCAACGCCGCGUGGAGGAUGAAGGUUUUCGGAUUGUAAACUCCUUUUGUUAGAGAAGAUAAUGACGGUAUCUAACGAAUAAGCACCGGCUAACUCCGUGCCAGCAGCCGCGGUAAUACGGAGGGUGCAAGCGUUACUCGGAAUCACUGGGCGUAAAGAGCGCGUAGGCGGGAUAGCAAGUCAGAUGUGAAAUCCUAUGGCUUAACCAUAGAACUGCAUUUGAAACUGUUAUUCUAGAGUAUGGGAGAGGUAGGUGGAAUUCUUGGUGUAGGGGUAAAAUGCGUAGAGAUCAAGAGGAAUACUCAUUGCGAAGGCGACCUGCUAGAACAUAACUGACGCUGAUGCGCGAAAGCGUGGGGAGCAAACAGGAUUAGAUACCCUAGUAGUC
rnacentral:rRNA from 1 species